AGCGAACGCUGGCGGCAGGCCUAACACAUGCAAGUCGAGCGGAUGAAGUGGGGUUGCUCGCGGAUGCAGGGGCGGACGGGCGAGGAAUGCCUAGCAAUGGUCCUGAAUGUGGGGGAGAAAGUUCGGAUACUGGCGGUAAUGCGCCAUACGAGCUGGGGUAGAAAGUGGAAGGACCACGGUCCGUCUGCUAAAGGAGGUGCCUAGGUCAGAUUAGAUAGAGGGUGGGGUAAAGGCCUACCAAGGGGAGGAGCCUUAACUGGGCUGAGAGGAUGGUCAGACACACUGGGACUGAGACACGGCGCAGACUCCUACGGGAGGCAGCAGUGGGGAAUCUUGCCCAAUGGGGGGAAUCCUGAAGGAGCCAUGCCGCGUGAGUGAUGAAGGCCUUAGGGUUGUAAAGUUCUUUAAUCCGGGACGAUAAUGACGUUACCGGCAGAAUAAGCCCCGGCUAACUUCGUG
rnacentral:rRNA from 1 species